GCCGGGCUCAGUGCCGGGCUAGUCACCGCCUGUAGUGGAGGUCGGAGGAGCGUCCCUUCGCGUCCCCGCCCAUCCGAGAGCAGAAACGCCCACACUCACAGGUGCCGGGUGCUGGAAGAGGAGACCGACUCCCUCCGCGCGCUUGCUUGCCUUCGAAUCCCAACGACGCUCGCGAGAGAGAGCAACGAAAUCGACUUGUUCCUCCUUGGAGCAGAAGCAGAAGAAGCGGAAAGAAGCGGAAGAAGAAGCAGGUGUAGAAGACGAAGUUAGCAGGAGCUGAAGUUGAAGAGGGGAAAAGGACACAAGAAGAAGGAGAGGCAGAAACUGAAGCGGAAGACGUCGCCGUGCCCGGGUGUUUGUUUCGAACGUGUCGCGACGGCGCAGAAGCAAAAUUGGAUAAACAGAAGUAGAAGAAGAAAGAGAAGAGGUUCUCGGAAGUGAGUCGUUUAAGAAAUAGAGAUAAAGAAAAAGAGGAAGAAGGAGAAAAGAGAGUGAUGUCACCCAUGCUAGUGUGAAGUGUGAAAUUCUCUCUGCCAAAGGAGGAACGAUUGUUUUUUUAUUUAGAUAUAAGUUAAUUUAGGAAGAAAAAAGGCUUAUAGAAACGUCUUUCAAAGCAAUUUUUUGCUUACUAUUCAUCACAUGGUGUCAGGAAGUGUCUGUGAUAUAUCGACCUAUACAAAAAAGUAAUAAUAAUAAUAAUAAAAAAAUAAAAAGUGUAGAAAACGGGAAGUGAAGAAAACGAGAGAAACAUCAUCAACGGAGAGGAGGAACUUCGAUAAAAAAAAAUGGAGAAUAAAAAAGGAGAUAGAGGAGUCCGAAAGGAGAGAAGCUUUGUACAGGACCGAAGUUUCCCAGAACGACCGGCUUUUUGGAGGAGUGCGUCGUUUUGCCGGGUAAUGUCUUGACCUUGUUUUUGUUACCUGUUUGUGACCUUGUAUACUGCUAUUUAUUUACUUUACGUGUGUUCUGCGUGUGACCUUAUUGU